rnacentral:rRNA from 1 species
UAGCUAGUUGGUGAGGUAAAGGCUUACCAAGGCGACGAUCUGUAGCGGGUCUGAGAGGAUGAUCCGCCACACUGGAACUGAGACACGGUCCAGACUCCUACGGGAGGCAGUAGUGGGGAAUUUUGGACAAUGGGGGCAACCCUGAUCCAGCCAUGCCGCGUGAGUGAAGAAGGCCUUCGGGUUGUAAAGCUCUUUCGGCCGGGAAGAAAUCGCAUGGGCCAAUACCCUGUGUGGAUGACGGUACCGGAAUAAGAAGCACCGGCUAACUACGUGCCAGCAGCCGCGGUAAUACGUAGGGUGCGAGCGUUAAUCGGAAUUACUGGGCGUAAAGCGUGCGCAGGCGGUUUUGUAAGACAGGCGUGAAAUCCCCGGGCUUAACCUGGGAACUGCGUUUGUGACUGCAAGGCUAGAGUACGGCAGAGGGGGGUGGAAUUCCACGUGUAGCAGUGAAAUGCGUAGAGAUGUGGAGGAACACCAAUGGCGAAGGCAGCCCCCUGGGUCGAUACUGACGCUCAUGCACGAAAGCGUGGGUAGCAAACAGGAUUAGAUACCCUGGUAGUCCACGCCCUAAACUAUGUCAACUAGGUGUUGGGUGGGUAAAACCAUUUAGUACCGUAGCUAACGCGUGAAGUUGACCGCCUGGGGAGUACGGCCGCAAGGUUAAAACUCAAAGGAAUUGACGGGGACCCGCACAAGCGGUGGAUGAUGUGGAUUAAUUCGAUGCAACGCGAAAAACCUUACCUACCCUUGACAUGCCAGGAACUUGCCAGAGAUGGCUUGGUGCCCGAAAGGGAGCCUGGACACAGGUGCUGCAUGGCUGUCGUCAGCUCGUGUCGUGAGAUGUUGGGUUAAGUCCCGCAACGAGCGCAACCCUUGUCGUUAAUUGCCAUCAUUUAGUUGGGCACUUUAACGAGACUGCCGGUGACAAACCGGAGGAAGGUGGGGAUGACGUCAAGUCCUCAUGGCCCUUAUGGGUAGGGCUUCACACGUCAUACAAUGGUCGGUACAAAGGGUUGCCAAGCCGCGAGGCGGAGCCAAUCCCAGAAAGCCGAUCGUAGUCCGGAUUGCAGGCUGCAACUCGCCUGCAUGAAGUCGGAAUCGCUAGUAAUCGUGGAUCAGCAUGUCACGGUGAAUACGUUCCCGGGUCUUGUACACACCGCCUGUCACACCAUGGGAGCGGGUUCCGCCAGAAGUAGGUAGCCUAACCGCAAGGGGGGCGCUUACCACGGCGGGGUUCGUGACUGGGGUGAAGUCGGAACAAGGUAGCCGUAGGGGAACCUGCGGCUG